CCCGCACAAGCGGUGGAGCAUGUGGUUUAAUUCGACGCAACGCGAAGAACCUUACCAGGGCUUGACAUCCCCUGACCGCGUAUGAAAGUACGUUUUCACCCUCGGGUGACAGGGAGACAGGUGGUGCAUGGUUGUCGUCAGCUCGUGUCGUGAGAUGUUGGGUUAAGUCCCGCAACGAGCGCAACCCCUACGUUUAGUUGCUAACGCGUGAAGGCGAGCACUCUAGACGAACUGCCGUUGACAAAACGGAGGAAGGUGGGGAUGACGUCAAAUCAUCAUGCCCCUUAUGUUCUGGGCUACACACGUGCUACAAUGGCCGGUACGGACGGACGCAAAGCCGCGAGGUGGAGCAAAUCCUAAAAAGCCGGUCUCAGUUCGGAUUGCAGGCUGCAAUUCGCCUGCAUGAAGUCGGAAUCGCUAGUAAUCGCAGGUCAGCAUACUGCGGUGAAUACGUUCCCGGGCCUU
rnacentral:rRNA from 1 species